GCUUACGGUCACACUACCCUGAGAACGCCCGAUCUCAUCUGAUCUCGGAAGCUAAGCAGGGUUUGGCUUGGUUAGUACUUGGAUAGGAGACGACCUGGGAACACCAGGGGUCUCAUGUA
rnacentral:rRNA from 1 species